GCCUGCUCAGCAGCCUGAGGCCGCGGCCGGGUGCCCUCCUGCCCUCCUGGCCAUCCAGGGAUUGGGUGUCAGUGGCCUGUUGCACAUUGUCACUUCUACAAGUGACUAACACCGUCAGGAUAAUCUAAAACUACGAAUACUACCUGACUCCACAAGGGUACGGUGUAUUCUCCAGUUUUAGCAUCUGCCUUAAAAAUUACCUCAGAGUUAAGCACUGCUGGGGACUUAUUUCUACUCUUGGCAGGAGGAGAAAAGGAAAUGACAUCAGAGGUGCUUUGCUAAAGAUCACAGGAACUGCAGCUGUGGCCUUCCUAUUUCGCAGGAAUCCAAGACAGUACUCAACUGAAGGGGAAGCAAGCACAAGGGAGAUUUCUGGGACACUGAUACUGUUCCGUUUCUUCAUCUGAAUGCUGCUUAUGGGCCUUGUUCAAUUUGUGAAAAUUCAUGACUUUGUACAUUUAUGUUAAUUUCCCAGACACCCUACAGUGAGGGGUGACUUAUGACUGAAUUGACAGCCAAUGCAACAGAAGACUUGGUCCAUGAAAACCUCCCAUGCAAUAUCCCUUCCAUGCUCUUUUCUACCUGCUGGAUUGAUCGAGCUGAGCAUGCAACCUUGAAAAAAAAAGCCUUCAGGAGGGUAGAGUCACAAGAUGGAAGGAGCAUACAUCAUUACUUGCAGAGGGCCACUGGCUAACUGGGAACCUUUUUGGGACUGUAUGGGACCAAGAAAUAAAUUUAUUUCCUAUUUGAGCCGUUAAA
rnacentral:lncRNA from 1 species